rnacentral:tRNA from 1 species
GGGCGAGUGGCGGAACGGUAGACGCGCUGGACUCAAAAUCCAGUGGGAGCAAUCCCGUGGAGGUUCGAUUCCUCUCUUGCCCA